UAAGGUUUCCUGGGGCAGGCUCGUCCGCCCAGGGUAAGUCGGGACCUAAGGCGAGGCCGAGAGGCGUAGUCGAUGGACAACAGGUUGAAAUUCCUGUACUGCACCGAAUCGUUAUGAGCGAUGGAGGGACGCAGGAGGCUAGCAGCGCGUGGUGCUGGAUACCACGUUCAAGCGUCAAGUCUGAGAGCGAGUCAAAUGCUUGCUCUCAUAAGGACAAGGCGUGAUGAGGAGCGAAAUUAAAGUAGCGAAGGCUGCGACGUCACACUGCCGAGAAAAGCUUCUAGCCAGAGACGGUGCACCCGUACCGCAAACCGACACAGGUAGUCGAGGAGAGUAUCCUCAGGUGAGCGAGAGAACUCUCGUUAAGGAACUCGGCAAAAUGGCCCCGUAACUUCGGGAGAAGGGGCGCUGGUCGCAAGAUCAGCCGCAGUGAAAAGGCCCAAGCAACUGUUUAUCAAAAACACAGGCAUCUGCAAAAUCGUAAGAUGAAGUAUAGGUGCUGACACCUGCCCGGUGCUGGAAGGUUAAGAGGAGAGCUUAGCGCAAGCGAAGGUUUGAAUUGAAGCCCCAGUAAACGGCGGCCGUAACUAUAACGGUCCUAAGGUAGCGAAAUUCCUUGUCGGGUAAGUUCCGACCUGCACGAAAGGUGUAAUGAUUUGGGCACUGUCUCAACGAGAGACUCGGUGAAAUUAUAAUACCCGUGAAGAUGCGGGUUACCCGCGACAGGACGGAAAGACCCCAUGGAGCUUUACUGCAGUUUAAUAUUGGGUAUCUGUCAAGCAUGUACAGGAUAGGUAGGAGCCGGAGAAGAUAGGACGCCAGUCUUAUC
rnacentral:rRNA from 1 species